rnacentral:lncRNA from 1 species
GGCGGUGGCGCGAUUAUGGGCAAACCACUGGGCAGCCUAAGUGUGACGUCGGGCGGUUGUCUGCUGGGCUUGGACCUGUUUUCUGUGAUUUUUAUGAUCUGUUUGGGCUUGGGCUUGUUUUAUGUUAUUUUUAUGCCCUAUUUAAAGGCCAGAACGUCUUAGGGUUUAUAUCUUUUGAUGGCUUAGGCAUAGAAACACACUUUUCACCCCUUUG